ACCAACUCUCACAUUCAUUAAGCACAAAACAUCAGGUGAAUUCUUGCAAAUGGUCAGUUGGUCCAAGUCAUUUGGUUGGGUAAGGGAAGGCUUUUAUUCAAGUGAUUCAAGAGGUUCAAAACAUAUGAUCUUUAAGGUGGUUUACUCUCAAAACAAGUAGCCUUGACAUUGCACAUAAUAUAUCUAAGAAAGGGACCAACUCAUGCAUACAAUGCUCAAUCUCCAUUGUUCUACCCUUUUCCCAAACAUACAUUACACAAUCAUUCCCAAAUGUCAAACCCAACUCACAUCUCUCACCAAAAGAUCUUAAGAACUUUAACUCUUUCUUUUUGAAAUCUACAAGGGAUUUUUCUACAACCUCAAAACAUUUCUUAGCUCUUAACAACUUUGCUAGCCCCCUUUUUUCUUUUCUUUUUUUUUUUUUUUUUUUUUUCGAUUUCUUUUCUUUUUUUUUUUAUAAUUUUUUUUUUUAGGUUGGGGGCCAAGACUUUUCAAAACUAGAGCUAGAGGUUCUCUACUUAUCCCAGAAAAUCAAUUCACUUAAGCACAAAGAGUCUAUCCUUUUUAUUUUUCAUUUCUCCCAAAUCAUGAUCACAACACUCACCCUCCCACCUAUAGCUAGACAAAAGAGUGUCCAAUCUAGCAAAAAUGAAGAUCAAUCAUUGUCGUUCCCGAUACUCUCAACAUUAUGCGCAUGUAAGACUUUCCGAAGAAGGCCUCACUCAUCAAACAAUGAAAGCUUAAAAGGAAGGAAAGGUUUUGGGAGUGGUCUACCACUAGAGUUUGUCAAAAAAGAUUGGUAUAAAAGAUGUGACAACUCAAGUGUGUAUAGCCAUGACUCAGUACACAAGAGACCAUGAGCAAGAAGCAUUAAGUUCGUUCAGUUCAAAUAAGGUUGUAGUUGGCUUCAAAGACUGAGUUUCAGCAAUCAACAAGUUUCAGGAAGAGUUUUCAAGGCUCGAAACAUACAAGUCUUUUUGAGAGGUGCAAAAGCUAGUCAAGUGCAACGUAGUGUUCUUUACAAGGCAUUCAAAUCAUUGCUCCCAAUGCAAGUGAAUGCAACCUAUAUGCUCUAGACUCUCCUAAAAAUGCAAAUGAUGCAAACUAAAUGAUUGAUUUUUUU
rnacentral:lncRNA from 1 species